UUUGCAGCGAUGCAGCCAGAGAGGCGAGCCGGGCUUCGCUUUCCGCAGCUGCUCUGAAGGGGAGGGGGCGUCGGACGCUGGGAAGAGGGGGAAGGGGGGAGCGCCGCCGCGGACAAGCCAGCCCCCCCUUUCUCCCGAUCCAGGCAGCCCUUGCAACUGCCUCCCGCCAGCUCCUCUCCCCCAGGUGCAAACGCUGAUGCAGUCGCUCAGGACAGGAAGACAGAACUCCUUUAGCGUCUUUCAGUGCAAGUCUGAGAUCCAAGCAGAGUUCAGCCGUCCUGGCUAGCUUGGGCAAAUUCUGCUGCCCCAUCCGCUCCAUGCACAAUGAGUUAGUUAGAAGCUGUUCAUUUAAGUCCGGAGCUCUGAUCUCCUAGUGUCAUGAGAUCAGAGCUCCCAGCUGCACCCUGCAACAGGCCCAGAUGCCAACUCUGCCCAAAUAUCUGCCCAGAAAAUACGAUCACAGGACCCAAUAGCAUCAACUACACAAUCUCUGGCUCUUAUAACCGCUCAUCCUCCAAUGUGAUAAAUGCCCUCAUGUGCCAACAAUACCCCUUUGCUCUGUACGUCGGACAAACCAGCCAACCUCUGUGCAAAAGAAUAAAUGGACACAAAUCUGACACCAAAAAUGGCAAUAUCCAGAAACCAGUAGGAGAACAAUCUACCAGGAUACUCCAUCAAGGACUUAGAGGUCAUCAUCAUAUUUCAACAGAAACAUUUCAAACGCAAAAUCCAAUGGGCAGCUGCUGAAUUGGAAUUCAUAUGUAAAUUUGACUCAGUGAGACUUGGAUUGAAUAGAGAUGGAUGGUGAUCUCAUUAUCAGAAGUAACUGCCUUUCAGGCAUUCCGUUCAGAUUCAGCCAUGGAGUGGAGGGGUCACGCCCAGCCAGGAUUGUGCAGUCCACCUCUUUCAUGACUUUUGCAACUUAUUUGCAUCUACUUCCCCCUCCCCUCACCACUCUGGCCAGUUUCUUCAUACCCUCCAUGCAUCUAAUGAAGAAAGCUGAGGUUCUCAAAAGUUUAUGCUACAAUAAAGUUGGUUAGUCUUAAAGGUG